rnacentral:rRNA from 1 species
UAUACGACCGUACCGCAAACCGACACUGGUGCGCGAGAUGAGUAUUCUAAGGCGCUUGAGAGAACUCAGGAGAAGGAACUCGGCAAAUUGACACCGUAACUUCGGAAGAAGGUGUGCCCUAUUAGUGUGUAGUGAACAACGAAGCAUGAAUGGGUUGCAAAAAAUCGGUGGCUGCGACUGUUUAUUAAAAACACAGCACUCUGCAAACACGAAAGUGGACGUAUAGGGUGUGACGCCUGCCCGGUGCUGGAAGAUUAAAUGAUGGGGUGCAAGCUCUUGAUUGAAGUCCCAGUAAACGGCGGCCGUAACGAUAACGGUCCUAAGGUAGCGAAAUUCCUUGUCGGGUAAGUUCCGACCUGCACGAAUGGCGUAACGAUGGCCACACUGUCUCCUCCUGAGACUCAGCGAAGUUGAAAUGUUUGUGAUGAUGCAAUCUCCCCGCGGAAAGACGGAAAGACCCCAUGAACCUUUACUGUAGCUUUGUAUUGGACUUUGAACAGAUCUGUGUAGGAUAGGUGGGAGGCUUUGAAGCAGGGUCGCUAGAUCUUGUGGAGCCAACGUUGAAAUACCACCCUGGUGUGUUUGAGGUUCUAACCUAGGUCCAUUAUCUGGAUCGGGGACAGUGCAUGGUAGGCAGUUUGACUGGGGCGGUCUCCUCCCAAAGCGUAACGGAGGAGUUCGAAGGUACGCUAGUUACGGUCGGACAUCGUGACGAUAGUGCAAUGGCAUAAGCGUGCUUAACUGCGAGACUGACAAGUCGAGCAGAUGCGAAAGCAGGACAUAGUGAUCCGGUGGUUCUGUAUGGAAGGGCCAUCGCUCAACGGAUAAAAGGUACUCUGGGGAUAACAGGCUGAUACCGCCCAAGAGUUCAUAUCGACGGCGGUGUUUGGCACCUCGAUGUCGGCUCAUCUCAUCCUGGGGCUGUAGCCGGUCCCAAGGGUAUGGCUGUUCGCCAUUUAAAGAGGUACGUGAGCUGGGUUUAAAACGUCGUGAGACAGUUUGGUCCCUAUCUUCCGUGGGCGCUGCAGAUUUGAGGAAGCCUGCUCCUAGUACGAGAGGACCGGAGUGGACACACCUCUGGUGUAUCGGUUGUCACGCCAGUGGCAUUGCCGAGUAGCUAAGUGUGGAAGAGAUAACCGCUGAAAGCAUCUAAGCGGGAAACUCGUUUCAAGAUGAGAUCUGCCGGGGCCUUGAGCCCCCUAAAGAGUCGUUCAAGACCAGGACGUUGAUAGGUCAGGUGUGUAAGC